GAUGAACGCUAGCGGCAGGCCUAAUACAUGCAAGUCGAGGGGUAUGGGUUGCUUGCAAUCCAGAGACCGACGCACGGGUGCGUAACGCGUAUGCAACCUACCUUAAUCAGGGGGAUAGCCCGGAGAAUCCGGAUUAACACCGCAUAAAAACACAGGGUAGCAUUACCCAAUGUUCAAAGAUUUAGAGGAUUAAGAUGGGCAUGCGUGCCAUUAGCUAGUUGGCGGGGUAACGGCCAACAAAGGCGACGAUGGCUAGGGGAUCGGAGAGGAUGACCCCCCACACUGGUACUGAGACACGGACCAGACUCCUACGGGAGGCAGCAGUAAGGAAUAUUGGUCAAUGGGGGCAACCCUGAACCAGCCAUGCCGCGUGCAGGAUGACGGCCCUCCGGGUUGUAAACUGCUUUUGUACGGGAAUAAACCUUUCUUCGUGAAGAGAGCUGAAUGUACCGUAAGAAUAAGGAUCGGCUAACUCCGUGCCAGCCGCCGCGGUAA
rnacentral:rRNA from 1 species